rnacentral:lncRNA from 1 species
CUUUACUUAAACACUUCAUCCCUCAUGUCCUUCCUGUCUCUGUAACGUUACUUCUCGUUGUUUUUAUUCUCUUCAGUGCGAGUGUUACCAUCCCAGAAGUGAUUGGAAGGUUCACAGAGAUCUUGGGAAAGAGCUGCUUAAAAAUAAGUCUGUCCCCUCUAGAAACAACAAAGUUGAAGCCGUGGGCACUGACUGCAGCUCUGCUGGAUGCCGUCAGUGGGGAAGUAGGGCCCCAAGGAGUUUUUUUUUACAAAGGCAGCUGUAUCUCGGCACGCACUCCAACCUGAAGUAUUGCUGAGCCAGCAAGAGUUGGAAACACAAAUGAAAUGGCAACCAGUGGAAGGGAGCCGAUGGCUUUUGGAAAACAUCACCUACGUGGGAGCAUUUCUGUCUCUUCAGAGAGAGGUUUCAGCAAUCCGAACUAUCUGAUCUCACCUAAUAACGCUGUAGCACGUCAACUCAUCGGUGCAGCUGUCUUUGCUCCUAGGUAGGUUCCACCAAGACGUUAAGCUCUAUUUGCUUUGGGUAAGAUACCAAGCUAUGGCUGUGCUGUUUUGCGGGGGACAAUUUUCUGAUGUUUGAUUGCCUUGGGUAAGACAUUUUUGGUGAAUCAUUGUACCGAAAUGCAAAGAAGGUAACUUGAGAAAGAUGCUUAUGUUUCUGUAGCGCUCUGCAGCAGAUGUCUCCUAUUUACUGCUUUAUUUUAUUGCUUAAUGACUGGAUCUCAAGUAAUUGAACAAUUUGACAGAUAUUUAUUUGUAAAACGUGAUUCAUUUAGUCAGACAUUGUGAAACAGUUUCAUGCCAGUUCUAGAGAUUCUGGUAGAACUUUCUAAAGAUGCAAGCGUUCAAGUAAAUUGCUCAUGUCAAUAGCACAUCCACUUUUUACUGUUCUUUACUGCACACAAAUAUUUGAGUUGACAAAAAAGCACUGGUGAACAGACUACAGGGACUUCUGAACUUUAAUCAACCACAAGCACUGGCAGGGUUCAGAAGUAAUUUCCUAACUAUGAAUCACCUGCAGACAAUGAAUCACAUACUGGAGAAGAUUGCCAAAUAAAACAAGCCAUCAUGUAUAGCUUGCA